CGGACGGCAGUACGAGGUCGAGGUGCGCGCCCGGUUCCCAGCCGGGCAGCCGCUCGCCCUCCAGGCGGAGGACCACCACCCCCUCGGCCGCC
rnacentral:tRNA from 1 species